ensembl:snRNA U2 U2 spliceosomal RNA
AUCGCUUCUCGGCCUUUUGGCUAAGAUCAAGUGUAGUAUCAAUAUCAUAAUCACGAUGAAAUCAAAAUCAAAGGAACAUCU